rnacentral:rRNA from 1 species
CGAAGGGUGCAAGCGUUACUCGGAAUUACUGGGCGUAAAGCGUGCGUAGGUGGUUUGUUAAGUCUGAUGUGAAAGCCCUGGGCUCAACCUGGGAACGGCAUUGGAAACUGGCUUACUAGAGUGCGGUAGAGGGGUGUGGAAUUCCCGGUGUAGCAGUGAAAUGCGUAGAUAUCGGGAGGAACAUCUGUGGCGAAGGCGACACCCUGGACCAGCACUGACACUGAGGCACGAAAGCGUGGGGAGCAAACAGGAUUAGAUACCCUGGUAGUCCACGCCCUAAACGAUGCGAACUGGAUGUUGGGUGCAAUUUGGCACUCAGUAUCGAAGCUAACGCGUUAAGUUCGCCGCCUGGGAAGUACGGUCGCAAGACUG